rnacentral:rRNA from 1 species
UACGUAGGGUGCGAGCGUUGUCCGGAAUUACUGGGCGUAAAGAGCUCGUAGGUGGUUUGUCGCGUUGUUCGUGAAAACUCACAGCUUAACUGUGGGCGUGCGGGCGAUACGGGCAGACUGGAGUACUGCAGGGGAGACUGGAAUUCCUGGUGUAGCGGUGGAAUGCGCAGAUAUCAGGAGGAACACCGGUGGCGAAGGCGGGUCUCUGGACAGUUCCUGACGGCUGAGGCAACGAAGGCCCAGGGGGAGCAAACGGGG